AAUCAAGGGAGCCGCCGCCUCCGAGGGGAGCGCCUGGACGGAGGAGCUCUGCCUCGGAAUGAAAAUAAGUUUUGUGCCAUUUCCACAAGAGAAGUUUAAGUACAUACAAUGGCAAAUCAGAAGAGGAAUCCGUCCCCUGUAAAUGACCCAGAGGUGUACUGAUUACUACUUCAACCCAUAGAUACAACAAAGCCUAUCAGGAAAUGCUAUGAAGUACUCCAGCUGUACUCAGAAAUUCUUGCUCUGAAAUCAGAGGAUUUCAUCUUCUGCACAUCUUGAAAAGGAAGACACUCAUAACUUGGAUAAGAACUUGAGAUACAAUUGGAGAAGUAUUUUAUCUUUGUCAAAUAGUGUGUAUUUUAUCGUAAGAGGUCAUGAAUUACAUUAUUAGGAAGGUCAUAUGUACAGAUAAUCAUUACAACUACUGGUGGCUGUAUAUGUGAAAUGAAGGUCCCUAAAUCUUAAGAACACUUAAGAUCUUAAAAUUCAGGAUCUUCAGAAGUCUCAGUUAUGAAAUAAAACAAAA